rnacentral:rRNA from 1 species
GAUGAACGCUGGCGGCGUGCCUAAUACAUGCAAGUCGAGCGAACAGACGAGGAGCUUGCUCCUCUGACGUUAGCGGCGGACGGGUGAGUAACACGUGGAUAACCUACCUAUAAGACUGGGAUAACUUCGGGAAACCGGAUCUAAUACCGGAUAAGAUAUUGAACCGCAUGGUUCAAUAGUGAAAGACGGUUUUGCUGUCACUUAUAGAUGGAUCCGCGCCGCAUUAGCUAGUUGGUAAGGUAACGGCUUACCAAGGCAACGAUGCGUAGCCGACCUGAGAGGGUGAUCGGCCACACUGGAACUGAGACACGGUCCAGACUCCUACGGGAGGCAGCAGUAGGGAAUCUUCCGCAAUGGGCGAAAGCCUGACGGAGCAACGCCGCGUGAGUGAUGAAGGUCUUCGGAUCGUAAAACUCUGUUAUUAGGGAAGAACAAAUGUGUAAGUAACUAUGCACGUCUUGACGGUACCUAAUCAGAAAGCCACGGCUAACUACGUG